ensembl:lncRNA
UCAUUGAUUAAAGGGAAGCAGCUGCUAGAGCCUAAGAGCUAGAAGAAGUGACAAAAUGUGCCAUGUGGGAAACAAGGAUUCUGUUCCCACCUCUGCUAGAACUGACCUGGUAUAAAUUGCGAAGUGAGGGAAAUAAUAACUGCCUUGUAUUUAAGAUUACAUUCCCAGUGACCUUCCACUGCAACAUGCUAUCUGGAACCAGAGGAUAAAGUUGUUUUCUAGGUUUUAGAUAGAUCUCUGGAGUUGUCUUCAAACAAAAGACAGGACUCAGUGCUUCUUGUGACAGUAUCAGAAAUGUCACUCAAGAUUUUGAAGUUUGUCACAAGACAGUUUCAAGAUUUCCUAGAAGAUGCAGCAUGAUCAUUCUCUUGGAGGCUCUGAGACCACAAUCAGUCCUGGGGUUUCCCCAUGUGAUGGUGAUGGCAGCAAAAUGGUGGAGACUGCUCACUGUGUGCCUGGGUUGGCCUUCCUCUUGUGAUGAGUAGCUUCCAUGCAGACUCAUCUGUACUACUUCUACUGCAUGGCCAGAGUGCUCCCCUGCCUUGCACCAACUCUGAGAUUUAAUUCUAAAAUCUUAGUGUCUCCAAUGGUCAGUUUUAAAUGAUUCUUACGGAAAAGCCAAUCAGUCAAGCCAGAAAACCCUGCUUGGGCUUUUAUUUGAACAUAUGCAAAUAAUUUGUUGUUUAAAUCUCUGGAAACUCGCACGUGUUGAUUCAUUUUUCUGUAAAUCACCCAGCAAACACCAGGUUCUGUUCAUUUCUUGCAUGCACUUGAAAGAGGAGAAGAGGAAGAUAUCUAAGCUUGGAGAAUACCCAGGAAGGGCAGUGCUGAGGUUGUUCAAGGCUUUUUCUACUUGUUCUUCUAAUUUGUUCACAGUGGAGCAGGAUAAGAUGAGAAUUGUAGUUGGAAGUAUUGACUAAUACAAGUACUAACUGCUCCUCUCGAGGUCAUGUUGUUUUCAGGGACACUUGCAGCACCAACACAUGGUAAAGUUUUAGAAAAAAAUCUUCUGUAUUCCGUUGAUUUUGGAGGAAAAUGAUUUUAAUUCUUGAAAUUCUAACAUGAUUUUUGCUACUGUUGGCAAACCUGUGUUUAAACUGUUAUGUUUCUUAUUGAAAACUUUGCAAAUCCUCACUUGUGAGGGCAGAAUUAAGAACCAGAAUUAAGCACUCAAAGUUUUACAUUUCUACCAGGCACUUUCUACCACUGAGUUGUCACAUGGGUUCUUCUGAUGAAAGCUGACUUGCAAGAUGGAUAUGAAAAACCCUUGUAUUUAUACACACUGAGAAAAUAUAUUUGACAAGAUAAAAAUGAUCAUAUUUUAAUUGUCAUGCCUGAAAAAUAGUUAGAGUAUGGAAAAGAACAGGUUUUUUUUUUCACAGCUCUCAUUAGCUGAACUAAUCUGACUUUCCAUUUUGGCCUCUGCUGGCUCCCACUUCAUUGUGGGUAUCAUUAAUCAAGUAAAUCAAGCCUGCUGGCUUCUCCCUGUGUUAGUUCCACUCAUUGUAGAAUAGGUUGUAUGUAUUCCUCAGGCUGAAUUAGGCAUUAUGAAUGGAAUUAGAGGGUUGAUGGCAAUAUGGCUUGUGGAUCAAAAGGAGAGCAGCCCAUGUGAAAAGCUGUAGAUCUUCAGAACUUGCCCACAUGAAAAAUAGUAAAAACUGACGUUUAUCACUAAGACAGUAGCAUGAUUGUAUCAGCAAAAGAAACAGAUACCAACUAUUAGAUGGCACCAUCUUUUCCUAGCAGUUUCAAAGUGGAACUACCAUGAAAGAUGGUGUGAUGAGCUAGCUAGCCAAAUAGCACAGAGCUGAGGAACAUGUUCUGAAGUUCCGUGUACGCAGAUGGAUAACCAUUUAAUGUAAGAGAUGGUUUGUCUCAGAUUGAAUGCUGGCAGCUACUGGCCCUGGCAAAGAAAAACCUGGUUCAGAGAAGAACCAAGCAAAUUCUAGUAAAAUAUUAGUAAAAUAUUUAUAUUUUUUUAUGGUUUUUUUUUUUUUUUUUUUUUUUCCCCCCACAUCUAUGUGGCCCUUGGAUAUUAGCUUGUAGCCUUCAUUGUGAUGCAGG